UACGUAGGUGGCAAGCGUUGUCCGGAUUUACUGGGCGUAAAGAGCGCGCAGGCGGUCGUUCAAGUCGCGUGUGAAAGCCCCCGGCUCAACUGGGGAGGGUCACGCGAUACUGAUCGACUCGAAGGCAGGAGAGGGUAGUGGAAUUCCCGGUGUAGUGGUGAAAUGCGUAGAGAUGUGGAGGAACACCGAUGGCGAAGGCAGCCCCCUGGGGUAACACUGACGCUCAUGCACGAAAGCGUGGGGAGCAAACAGG
rnacentral:rRNA from 1 species